rnacentral:rRNA from 1 species
GUGGGGAAUAUUGGACAAUGGGCGAAAGCCUGAUCCAGCCAUGCCGCGUGUGUGAAGAAGGCCUUUUGGUUGUAAAGCACUUUAAGCGAGGAGGAGGCUACCGAGAUUAAUACUCUUGGAUAGUGGACGUUACUCGCAGAAUAAGCACCGGCUAACUCUGUGCCAGCAGCCGCGGUAAUACAGAGGGUGCAAGCGUUAAUCGGAUUUACUGGGCGUAAAGCGCGAGUAGGUGGCCAAUUAAGUCAAAUGUGAAAUCCCCUAGCUUAACUUGGGAAUUGCAUUCGAUACUGGUUGGCUAGAGUAUGGGAGAGGAUGGUAGAAUUCCAGGUGUAGCGGUGAAAUGCGUAGAGAUCUGGAGGAAUACCGAUGGCGAAGGCAGCCAUCUGGCCUAAUACUGACACUGAGGUGCGAAAGCAUGGGGAGCAAACAGGAUUAGAAACCCUGGUAGUCC